GAUGAACGCUGGCGGCGUGCCUAAUACAUGCAAGUCGAGCGAACAGACGAGGAGCUUGCUCCUCUGACGUUAGCGGCGGACGGGUGAGUACACGUGGAUAACCUACCUAUAAGACCGGGAUAACCUCGGGAAACCGGAGCCAAUAACGGAAAAUAUAUUGAAACGGCUGGUUCAAUAGUGAAAGACGGUUUUGGCGUUAACUAUAGAAUGAUCCGCGCCGCAUUAGCUAGUUGGUAAGGUAACGGCUUACCAAGGCAACGAUGCGUAGCCGACCUGAGAGGGUGAUCGGCCACACUGGAACUGAGACACGGUCCAGACUCCUACGGGAGGCAGCAGUAGGGAAUCUUCCGCAAUGGGCGAAAGCCUGACGGAGCAACGCCGCGUGAGUGAUGAAGGUCUUCGGAUCGUAAAACUCUGUUAUUAGGGAAGAACAAAUGUGUAAGUAACUAUGCACGUCUUGACGGUACCUAAUCAGAAAGCCACGGCUAACUACGUG
rnacentral:rRNA from 1 species